CAGCCGCCGCGGUAAUACGAAGGGUGCAAGCGUUAAUCGGAACUACUGGGCGUAAAGCGUGCGUAGGCGGUUUGUUAAGUCUGUUGUGAAAUCCCCGGGCUCAACCUGGGAAUGGCAAUGGAUACUGGCAAGCUAGAGUGUGUCAGAGGAUGGUGGAAUUCCCGGUGUAGCGGUGAAAUGCGUAGAGAUCGGGAGGAACAUCAGUGGCGAAGGCGGCCAUCUGGGACAACACUGACGCUGAGGCACGAAAGCGUGGGGAGCAAACAGGAUUAGAUACCCCAGUAGUCCCUGUCUCUUAUAC
rnacentral:rRNA from 1 species